UUGUAACCUUUUUCUUUAUUCCACAUUUUAUCCAGACCUCAAUGUAUGAAACAGAUGAAAGCAGGGCAUGCAGACUAACAAGCAUGGGCUGAUUGAGGUCAGAUACAGUAAUAUCAUAUUGCUAUAAAACGCAAGAUUAAUGAGGGAAAAGUCAACGUGGAAGCACCGCCAGAUCCUGAGGAAAUGGCAAAGCAACAUAUUUUAGCUGCUCAUAUAAAGAGUCAUCAACCUAGACUGUCAGAGCCGGAAAGACCCUUCAAGAUCGUCUACACAUGAUAGUUUUCAAACGGCAGCUGGGUCCCAUUAGCGCUGCAGUUAUGAAAUCAGAUACUCAAAUCCAUAAAGUCCUGUUUGUUUUUCACACCUCUUUCCAUGGAGGUACUUCCAGCAUCA